UAUGAAACUAUUUCUGGGCCGGUGGUGAGUGACGGGGAUGAGGACGCUGAGGACGUGUCAAAGGAGGAUUCUUUAGAGGAGGUGGCCAUGACAAAGGAACAAAAAUCUGCUGUUGGACACAAAGAGAAUGUUAAAGUUGGAGAAAAUGAGGUGCAAGCAUCAACCAUUGGAAGAGGGGAUAAGGCAGUAGUUCAAUCAAUUGCUUUUUGUGAUGAUUGUGUCGAAAAUGACCAAAGGAAGUUGGAUACCGAAGAACAAAUAUGUGAUGAUAAUGACUUAUGUUCUUUUUUCCUAGACUCAUAGGAUUGUUAUUAUGACGGGCACAAUAAUCUUUCUCUCGUGUUUUAUUUGAAUGAUCUAUUUUGCAUGGU